rnacentral:rRNA from 1 species
GGGUGAGUAACACGUGGGAACGUGCCUUUAGGUUCGGAAUAACUCAGGGAAACUUGUGCUAAUACCGAAUGUGCCCUUCGGGGGAAAGAUUUAUCGCCUUUAGAGCGGCCCGCGUCUGAUUAGCUAGUUGGUGAGGUAAAGGCUCACCAAGGCGACGAUCAGUAGCUGGUCUGAGAGGAUGAUCAGCCACAUUGGGACUGAGACACGGCCCAAACUCCUACGGGAGGCAGCAGUGGGGAAUCUUGCGCAAUGGGCGAAAGCCUGACGCAGCCAUGCCGCGUGAAUGAUGAAGGUCUUAGGAUUGUAAAAUUCUUUCACCGGGGACGAUAAUGACGGUACCCGGAGAAGAAGCCCCGGCUAACUUCGUGCCAGCAGCCGCGGUAAUACGAAGGGGGCUAGCGUUGCUCGGAAUUACUGGGCGUAAAGGGAGCGUAGGCGGACAUUUAAGUCAGGGGUGAAAUCCCGGGGCUCAACCUCGGAAUUGCCUUUGAUACUGGGUGUCUUGAGUAUGAGAGAGGUGUGUGGAACUCCGAGUGUAGAGGUGAAAUUCGUAGAUAUUCGGAAGAACACCAGUGGCGAAGGCGACACACUGGCUCAUUACUGACGCUGAGGCUCGAAAGCGUGGGGAGCAAACAGGAUUAGAUACCCUGGUAGUCCACGCCGUAAACGAUGAUUGCUAGUUGUCGGGAUGCAUGCAUUUCGGUGACGCAGCUAACGCAUUAAGCAAUCCGCCUGGG